AGGAUGAACGCUGGCGGCGUGCCUAAUACAUGCAAGUCGAGCGAACUGAUUAGAAGCUUGCUUCUAUGACGUUAGCGGCGGACGGGUGAGUAACACGUGGGCAACCUGCCUGUAAGACUGGGAUAACUUCGGGAAACCGAAGCUAAUACCGGAUAGGAUCUUCUCCUUCAUGGGAGAUGAUUGAAAGAUGGUUUCGGCUAUCACUUACAGAUGGGCCCGCGGUGCAUUAGCUAGUUGGUGAGGUAACGGCUCACCAAGGCAACGAUGCAUAGCCGACCUGAGAGGGUGAUCGGCCACACUGGGACUGAGACACGGCCCAGACUCCUACGGGAGGCAGCAGUAGGGAAUCUUCCGCAAUGGACGAAAGUCUGACGGAGCAACGCCGCGUGAGUGAUGAAGGCUUUCGGGUCGUAAAACUCUGUUGUUAGGGAAGAACAAGUACGAGAGUAACUGCUCGUACCUUGACGGUACCUAACCAGAAAGCCACGGCUAACUACGUGCCAGCAGCCGCGGUAAUACGUAGGUGGCAAGCGUUAUCCGGAAUUAUUGGGCGUAAAGCGCGCGCAGGCGGUUUCUUAAGUCUGAUGUGAAAGCCCACGGCUCAACCGUGGAGGGUCAUUGGAAACUGGGGAACUUGAGUGCAGAAGAGAAAAGCGGAAUUCCACGUGUAGCGGUGAAAUGCGUAGAGAUGUGGAGGAACACCAGUGGCGAAGGCGGC
rnacentral:rRNA from 2 species